UAAUCAGAGAGUUUGAUCCUGGCUCAGAUUGAACGCUGGCGGCAUGCCUAACACAUGCAAGUCGAACGGAAACGAUGGGAGCUUGCUCCCAGGCGUCGAGUGGCGGACGGGUGAGUAAUACUUAGGAAUCUGCCCAUUAGUGGGGGACAACUCGGGGAAACUCGAGCUAAUACCGCAUACGCCCUACGGGGGAAAGCGGAGGAUCUUUCGGGACUUCGCGCUAUUGGAUGAGCCUAAGUCGGAUUAGCUUGUUGGUGAGGUAAAAGCUCACCAAGGCGACGAUCCGUAGCUGGUCUGAGAGGACGAUCAGCCACACUGGGACUGAGACACGGCCCAGACUCCUACGGGAGGCAGCAGUGGGGAAUAUUGGACAAUGGGGGCAACCCUGAUCCAGCAAUGCCGCGUGUGUGAAGAA
rnacentral:rRNA from 1 species